UACGAAGGGUGCAAGCGUUACUCGGAAUUACUGGGCGUAAAGCGUGCGUAGGUGGUUUGUUAAGUCUGUUGUGAAAGCCCCGGGCUCAACCUGGGAAUGGCAAUGGAUACUGGCAAGCUAGAGUGCGGUAGAGGGUAGUGGAAUUCCCGGUGUAGCGGUGAAAUGCGUAGAGAUCGGGAGGAAGGGCGGUGGGGGAGGCGGCGGUCUGGAACGUUUCUGACACUGAGGCUCGAAAGCGUGGGGAGCAAACAGG
rnacentral:rRNA from 1 species